rnacentral:rRNA from 1 species
UAGAUACCCUGGUAGUCCACGCCGUAAACGAUGAUAACUAGCUGUCAGGGGCCUUAGGCUUUUGGUGGCGCAGCUAACGCAUUAAGUUAUCCGCCUGGGGAGUACGGCCGCAAGGUUAAAACUCAAAGAAAUUGACGGGGGCCUGCACAAGCGGUGGAGCAUGUGGUUUAAUUCGAAGCAACGCGCAGAACCUUACCAGCGUUUGACAUCCUUGUCGCGGAUCGCAGAGAUGCUUUCCUUCAGUUCGGCU